UACGGAGGGUGCAAGCGUUAAUCGGAAUUACUGGGCGUAAAGCGUGCGUAGGCGGUUCGUUAAGUCUGUUGUGAAAGCCCCGGGCUUAACCUGGGAACUGCGUUUGAUACGGAUGGGCUAGAGUUCGGGAGAGGAGAGUGGAAUUCCCAGUGUAGAGGUGAAAUUCGUAGAUAUUGGGAAGAACACCGGUGGCGAAGGCGGCUCUCUGGACCGAUACUGACGCUGAGGCACGAAAGCGUGGGGAGCAAACAGG
rnacentral:rRNA from 1 species